GUUUGUCUGAGUCAUUAUAUAAAAUGUAAUAUAAAUUUCACUGAAAUUUGUUAUGUCUUCCGCAUGGUCGGCUUGACUAUUAUAUCAAGGUUGAAUUGUGUAGGUCUCUACCAAACAUAACAUAUGCAGCGUAAUUGUUUAUAUUAGGCUUUUAUAGAAAAAUAGAAUAGUUUCAAAUUCAAACAAAAGCGAAAAAAAAAUCGGUCAGAAUUUUUUUCCAGCAAAGUAUAUAACCAAGGUAAAGUAGUUUACCUUCUCCACACAUACUUCGACAGAGAAGAUUGAAGGAACGAUCUGAAAACAGUCUUUAAUUUGUAAGUGUUUGUUAAUUUUAUAUUAUUUUUACCUGGCUUUAUAACUUAUAUAUUAUUUUAUAUAUAUUUUAGAUCUGCCAUGCUACACCAACUUAAUCAGACUGAUCUUUUUGUUUACUAGAUAACACUUUGAAUAUCUUAAAUUCUAAGGUUUUUGUACCUUAGCUGUAUUUAGCAUCACUUUUGGGAAUUUUUGGUUCUCGAUGAUCUUCAAAUUCGUACUCUACUUGGCAUUUUUAACAGUUUUCGAUUCAAGCGUCACUGGUGAGUCUUUUGUAGGAGAAACGCGCGUCUGACGCAAAUUCAAAAUUGAAAUCAUGAUAUCUAUUUCUUCAUAUGCAUGGAUAUUUAGAAUAUUUUGGACUCUUAAUAAUUUAUCACAUGUCUUAAUGUCUAUCUUCUUAGAUAAAUCAACUGGACCUUAUAUACACAAAUCGUCGUAUGAUUCUGAUAAUGGUCUAUGUCGAUGCUUGCUAAAAAUGAAGAUAUUUUUAUAUUUGAGAUCCAAAUUGUACAACGAUAACAUGAAAUUUCUACAUUCUACGACUUUAUGUUAGAACUAUACGAGUUGGACAUUGGACGUUCAGUAAACAAUAAUUUUAGUAUGUUUUAUUUUCAGAUGUCACUACUAUAAAAACAAUUGCUAUCAAAAUUAUCUCAGUACUAGAAUGAUCUUACCUCAAUCGUUGAGUCAUAUUCAGCCAAUCCAGCACUGGUUUUUUGCGCUUUGGUCGGGUUGUUAUCUCUGGGACACAUUUUCAUUCUCAAUUUCAUUACAUAAUUUGGAAUAACUCAGAAUUAAACAAAACCAUGGAUAAAAAUUGAAAAUAUCAUUGAAUGAGGUUAAGAAAAAAAGAUAUGUAGAAACUUUAUAUUCAUUUGGUUCCUGAAUAAAACAAAACAAUUUUGAUAAAUUUUCUGUGGAUAGAACACUACAAUAUACAAUAUGUACAAUUUUAUAACAUUUAGAAACAUAGGAUUUACAUAACUAGAACUUUCACCCGACUCAUUU
rnacentral:lncRNA from 1 species